AUUGAACGCUGGCGGCAUGCUUUACACAUGCAAGUCGAACGGCAGCGGGGGCUUCGGCCCGCCGGCGAGUGGCGAACGGGUGAGUAAUGCAUCGGAACGUGCCCAGUCGUGGGGGAUAACACAUCGAAAGAUGUGCUAAUACCGCAUACGUCCUGAGGGAGAAAGCGGGGGAUCUUCGGACCUCGCGCGAUUGGAGCGGCCGAUGUCGGAUUAGCUAGUUGGUGGGGUAAAAGCCCACCAAGGCGACGAUCCGUAGCGGGUCUGAGAGGAUGAUCCGCCACACUGGGACUGAGACACGGCCCAGACUCCUACGGGAGGCAGCAGUGGGGAAUUUUGGACAAUGGGGGCAACCCUGAUCCAGCCAUGCCGCGUGAGUGAUGAAGGCCUUAGGGUUGUAAAGCUCUUUUGGCGGGGACGAUAAUGACGGUACCCGCAGAAUAAGUCCCGGCUAACUUCGUG
rnacentral:rRNA from 1 species